rnacentral:rRNA from 1 species
GAUGAACGCUGGCGGCGUGCUUAACACAUGCAAGUCGAACGAAGCACUUAAGAUUGAUUCUUCGGAUGACGUCUUUUGUGACUUAGUGGCGGACGGGUGAGUAACGCGUGGGUAACCUGCCUCACACAGGGGGAUAACAGUUAGAAAUGACUGCUAAUACCGCAUAACCCGAUAGGAUCGCAUGAUCCAGACGGAAAAGAUUUAUCGGUGUGAGAUGGACCCGCGUCUGAUUAGCUAGUUGGUGAGGUAACGGCCCACCAAGGCGACGAUCAGUAGCCGGCCUGAGAGGGUGAACGGCCACAUUGGGACUGAGACACGGCCCAAACUCCUACGGGAGGCAGCAGUGGGGGAUAUUGCACAAUGGGGGAAACCAUGAUGCAGCGACGCCGCGUGAGUGAAGAAGUAUUUCGGUAAGUAAAGCUCUAUCAGCAGGGAAGAAAAUGACGGUACCUGAAGAAGAAGCCCCGGCUAACUACGUG